CUGAGGAGUGGUUCUGUGGGGACUGUGAUGUAUUGCAUCACAAAAAACAGCCACUCCACAACAGGGAAUGUGUGAAUAAUGUUUUUUUUUAAGCCAUUCCUCCAACCUCAUGUGUCAUUAAAGGGCAAGAUGGAUAUUGCAAAGGUAUGCUAGGUAUGCUCUCACAAAAGCCCUCAUUUUGCUGUUCAUGUGUGUCUGCAGCCAGUUACAGAUUAGUGCUUUUAGUGCUUUUCUUUCUUUUUGCCAGCUUGCAUUUUGCCAACAGUGAAGGCGCCAGACUGCUCCUGUGAAGGCACAAACUUCACCAUAUUACCGGGCAAACCAGUGAUUUUAAUUACCAUCAAUGGGCGUUUUGACUUGCAUCAGCCACUAUAUGUAUGUCAAAUGUGCCAGCAUCAGUGGAUCCCUGACUUGAAGGACCUCCUUAGGAGUGGAUAUUGGCCUGCCUCUGUCACCAGUUCCACACUUUAUACAUUGGACCUCCUGAGCUCCUUUCAGGAACUCAAGGUCAUCUCUCCGGGAUUCUCCAGACAAG
rnacentral:lncRNA from 1 species